GGUGGAGGCGCCGACUGUCCCCAUGGCGGCUGCGCCGGAGGCCGGAGAGCCCGGAAAGGGGAAGGGCUUCCCGACUCCUCAAGAGACUGAGGUGCUUCUGCUCCUAUCUCCCGGACACCUUGUACAUUGCUGGAUCAUUACAACAUUAUACUGGAAGUUAAUUUGUGUCUUAAGAGCAGGGAACCCGAUUUUUAUAUCCUCAAUGCAGAGUAAAUAACAAGUGUUUUAAAAAGCCCUUUAAGCUCCUAGGAAUUUUAGAUGUUGAAAACAUCCCCUGUGCUCGGGAUUCGACACUGUAUGGCUCAUUAGGAUCUGUUGUGGCUGGCCUCGGACACUUUUUGUUAACUAGUGAGUAUCUGCUUUUCUCUAUGCAUAAAAAACAUGUUUCUCUGACGUUUUUUUCCUAGAGGAAGUAUUAUAACAUGCAGUGUAUUAGUGUUUAUGCUUCCUUUUGACAGGCAGAAUUAGAAGAUCAUGUGACGUUGGAAUAGGAGGAUUUAUCUUGGUGACUUUAGGAUGCUGGUAUGUGUGCUAAGUAUUCAAGAAGAUCCACGAUUCUAAUAGGUUUAUCUAGUUCCAAAGGACAUGCUCUACUCAGAGCCAUCUCCCACUAAGAUUCCCCACCCUCACGGAAACUUAUCUUACAAAAUGAUAUUGCCGGACUGCCUUUCAUCUUUUAAAUAUGUAUAUAUACACACACAUCUUGUGUCAUUUGUCAAAUGAACAGAUGAAUGCAUGGCAUUAGGCACUGCAUUAAGGCCAUGUCAGGGUUUAUACUUCGUUUAGGAAGGCCUCAACCUUUUAUCUUAUCCUAAUGCUCAUUUCAAUCCCUACCUAUGGCAUAACAUCUGAAAAUGCUACCUUAAGAAUGUGUUCACAACCACUGACAGUCAUCUGUAAGCAUUUAAAAAUUUUGAUUACAAACUUCAAAUUAGUUUCUACAGGUAUGUUAUAUCAAUUUAUUCAUGUUCUCCUUACUAGGUUCCAUUGUAGGUAUAAUUAUGCAAAGCUAAGAAUCCAGGAAAGACGUGCCAGAGAAGGAAUUAAAAACAAGAUUUUAUAUGAAAGUACCCACCUUGAUCCUGAAAGAAAACAAACCA